CGAAGAGGAGGAAGACGAGGAGG
rnacentral:piRNA from 1 species